rnacentral:rRNA from 1 species
AGUGAACGCUGGCGGUAGGCCUAACACAUGCAAGUCGAACGGCAGCACAGGAGAGCUUGCUCUCUGGGUGGCGAGUGGCGGACGGGUGAGGAAUACAUCGGAAUCUACCUUUUCGUGGGGGAUAACGUAGGGAAACUUACGCUAAUACCGCAUACGACCUUCGGGUGGAAGCAGGGGACCUUCGGGCCUUGCGCGGAUAGAUGAGCCGAUGUCGGAUUAGCUAGUUGGCGGGGUAAAGGCGCACCAAGGCGACGAUCCGUAGCUGGUCUGAGAGGAUGAUCAGCCACACUGGAACUGAGACACGGUCCAGACUCCUACGGGAGGCAGCAGUGGGGAAUAUUGGACAAUGGGCGCAAGCCUGAUCCAGCCAUACCGCGUGGGUGAAGAAGGCCUUCGGGUUGUAAAGCCCUUUUGUUGGGAAAGAAAAGCAGCCAGUUAAUACCUGGUUGUUCUGACGGUACCCAAAGAAUAAGCACCGGCUAACUUCGUGCCAGCAGCCGCCGUAAGAC